GUGCUCGGAUGCUUAUUGCACCACAUGUGUUUUUCUUUGAAACAAACUUGCUUUGGCGGUGGGCCCAGCCUGCCGCCAGAGGUCUAAACUUACAACCAAUUUUUUAUCAACUUGUCACACCAGAUUAUUACUAAUAGUCAAAACUUUCAACAACGGAUCUCUUGGUUCUCGCAUCGAUGAAGAACGCAGCGAAAUGCGAUACGUAAUAUGAAUUGCAGAUAUUCGUGAAUCAUCGAAUCUUUGAACGCACAUUGCGCCCUCUGGUAUUCCGGAGGGCAUGCCUGUUUGAGCGUCGUUUCUCCCUCAAACCGCUGGGUUUGGUGUUGAGCAAUACGACUUGGGUUUGCUUGAAAGACGGUAGUGGUAAGGCGGGAUCGCUUUGACAAUGGCUUAGGUCUAACCAAAAACAUUGCUUGCGGCGGCAACGUCUACCACGUAUAUCUUCAAACUUUGACCUCAAAUCAGGUAGGACUACCCGCUGAACUUAAGCAUAUCAAAAGCC
rnacentral:rRNA from 1 species